rnacentral:rRNA from 1 species
GAUGAACGCUGGCGGCGUGCCUAAUACAUGCAAGUCGAGCGAAAAGACGAGAAGCGUGCGGCUCUGAUGUUAGGGGCGGACGGGUGAGUAACGCGUGGAUAACCUACCUAUAAGAGUGGGAUACCUUCGGGAAACGGGAGCUAAUGCCGGGUGAUCUUUUGAACCGCAGGGGGCAGGAGUGAAAGACGGUCUUGCGGUGGCCUCUAGAUGGAUCCGCGCUGCAGUAGCUAGUUGGUAAGGUAACGGCUUACCAAGGCAACGAUGCAUAGCCGACAUGUGAGGGGGUUCGGCGACACUGGGAGUGAGACGCGGUCCAGACUCUUAGGGGAGGCAGCAGUAGCGACGCUUCGGAGAUGGGCGGAAGACUGACGGAGCAAUGCCGCGUGGGUGCUGAAGGGCUGCGGACCGUAAAACUCUCUUAUUAGUGAAGAACAUAUGUGUAAAUGACUGUGCACAGCGUGACGGUACUUAAUCAGAAAGCCCCGGCUAACUACGUG